rnacentral:rRNA from 1 species
AGCGAACGCUGGCGGCAGGCCUAACACAUGCAAGUCGAACGGAUCCUUCGGGAUUAGUGGCGGACGGGUGAGUAACACGUGGGAACGUGCCCUUUGGUUCGGAACAACUCAGGGAAACUUGAGCUAAUACCGGAUGUGCCCUUCGGGGGAAAGAUUUAUCGCCAUUGGAGCGGCCCGCGUCUGAUUAGCUAGUUGGUGAGGUAAAGGCUCACCAAGGCGACGAUCAGUAGCUGGUCUGAGAGGAUGAUCAGCCACACUGGGACUGAGACACGGCCCAGACUCCUACGGGAGGCAGCAGUGGGGAAUCUUGCGCAAUGGGCGAAAGCCUGACGCAGCCAUGCCGCGUGAAUGAUGAAGGUCUUAGGAUUGUAAAAUUCUUUCACCGGGGACGAUAAUGACGGUACCCGGAGAAGAAGCUCCGGCUAACUUCGUGCCAGCAGCCGCCGUAA